rnacentral:misc_RNA from 1 species
GAUGAAGAACGUAGCGAAAUGCGAUAAGUAGUGUGAAUUGCAGAAUUCAGUGAAUCAUCGAAUCUUUGAACGCACAUUGCGCCCUUUGGUAUUCCAAAGGGCAUGCCUGUUCGAACGUCAUUUGUACCCUCAAGCUUUGCUUGGUGUUGGGCGUCUUGUCUCUAGCUUUGCUGGAGACUCGCCUUAAAGUAAUUGGCAGCCGGCCUACUGGUUUCGGAGCGCAGCACAAGUCGCACUCUCUAUCAGCAAAGGUCUAGCAUCCAUUAAGCCUUUUUUUCAACUUUUGACCUCGGAUCAGGUAGGGAUACCCGCUGAACUUAAGCAUAUCAAUAAGCGGAGGA